UGUAAUCAGCGGUGGGGUCAUUUCAUUAGUGCCUGGGGACAGGACACGCCGGGGAGGCAGGUGAGGGGUGAGGCUGGAGCGUGUGUCCGGCUGCAGGGACACACCUGCUGCACCCCGGAGAGAGGGAAGGGAGAGGGACGGACCCGCGCGGGGACACGCGACAGCAGCGCUCAGCCCGGCCCCAGGGUGACUUUAGCCAUAAAAAACAGGGAGCCCAGGUGGAAAACAACUCGUUCUUCAGCGUGGGCCUGUCCACCAAGGGCCCUGUUCUCUGCUGCAGCAGGGACAGAGGACACCCCUCUCUUGCUGUCAGCAGUGGAGCUGCAGAUCCCCCCAGCACCUGUGUGCCCUUUGCACUUCGUGUUGCUGCUUGGUUUUUUAAGUUGGGCCUUUCUGCUGGUGAAAUGUUGCUUUUAUCCAACACCCUUUCCACAAGUACAGCACCUCCCCUCCCUGAACAAUUUCAGCCAGAAGCCAAGAGAACGUAGACACUCA